GACGAACGCUGGCGGCGUGCUUAACACAUGCAAGUCGAACGGAAAGGCCCUGCUUUUGUGGUGGUCUCGAGUGGCGAACGGGUGAGUAACACGUGAGUACCCUUCCCUUGGCUUGGGGAUAACUGCAGGAAACUGGAGCUAAUACCGAAUCGGAGCUCCUGCUGCAUGGUGGGGGUUGGAAAGUUUAGGCGGUUGGGGAGGGACUCGGGGCUUAUCAGCUUGUGGGGGGGGUAGUGGCUUACCAAGGCUUUGACGGGGCGCCGGCCUGAGCGGGUGACCGGCGACAUGGGGCCUGAGAUACGGACCAGAGUCGUACGGGAGGCAGCAGUGGGAAACAUUGCACAAUGGGCGGAAGCGUGAGGCAGAAACGCCGCGUGCGGGAUGAAGGCUUUCGGGUUGAAAACCGCUUUCGCCUGUGACGAAGCGUGAGUGACGGUAAUGGGUAAAGAAGCACCGGCUAACUACGUG
rnacentral:rRNA from 1 species